rnacentral:rRNA from 1 species
UACAGAGACUGCAAGCGUUAUUCGGAUUCACUGGGCGUAAAGGGUGCGCAGGCGGCCAAGUGUGUUAGGCGUGAAAGCCCGGGGCUUAACCCCGGAAUUGCACCUAAAACUACAUGGCUAGAGCAUUGGAGAGGGUAGCGGAAUUCACGGUGUAGCAGUGAAAUGCGUAGAUAUCGUGAGGAACACCAGAGGCGAAGGCGGCUACCUGGACA